rnacentral:lncRNA from 1 species
UUCCUGAUUUAUGUUCUGUGCAGGAAUGUUGCAGUUUGCCUAUUUCAGUAGCAGGAUGGUCAGAAAUGGGAAGGAAUCUUCUCGACUCUAAGCUGCAGCAUGGCUGUGGGACUGUUCUGCUGCCAUCACUUCAGCAAUGAGACUACAGAAGCCAUAGCAGAAUUAAUGAGUCCCCAGCCUCUGAGUGGAGUGUUGUAACUUGGAAAGGAAAAGACAAAGAAAAAAAAAGCAUGAUUAAGCAAGAGUUAAACUGAGCUGAGAAAACUGGGUGGAGUAUUUUCCAUAACUGUGUCUAACCAGUGUACUGAAAGGAGAAGCAGGUUGCAGAGGGAGAAGUGCCUUCAAAUUUUGUGAGUAUGCUUGUUUUCUUUUGAAUAUUUUUUUGGAGAAAGAAACAACAAUAUCAUAUUUACUAUUUACAAAAGGAGAGGACCUAUGGCACAUCAAGGCCGGACGGAGUAUCUUACUUCAGGCCAUAACCAGACUGUUGCUUCAAAGAAAGGUAAGCCCCAUCCCA